rnacentral:misc_RNA from 1 species
AACGCAAAUUGCACUUCAGGGCAUUCCCUGGAGUACACCUGGCUGAGCAUCAUGAACUCUCUUCUUCCCCCCUUCUGGGGGGGAUGAGAAAAUGAAGUUGUCCCUUUCCUGCAAGUCUUGCCGGGGAAGCGUCCUUCAAAAAAAAAGUUGGGACCCAACCUUUUGGUGUGUGUGUUUCCCUCUACAAAGACACCGAUGUGUUAAGUAAAUGGGGGGUUUCCCCAUGGACUCUCAUCGCGGUCGGUGGGGGUGUGUGCACCACACUAGUUUUUUUCGGGCCUCUGCUGUGGAAAACAAAUUUUGACCAAUGAUCUCAGCUCAGGUGAGACUACCCGCUGAACUUAA